GAGGCUAUAGCUCAGUGGUAGAGCACCUGCUUGGCAUGCACAAGGUCCUGAGUUCAAUCCAAAGUACCUCCA
rnacentral:tRNA from 1 species